AUGAACGCUAGCGGCAGGCUUAACACAUGCAAGUCGAGGGGUAUAGGGAGCUUGCUUCCUAGAGACCGGCGCACGGGUGCGUAACGCGUAUGCAAUUCUACCUUUUGCAGAGGGAUAGCCCAAGAGAAAAUUUUGGAUUAAUACCUCAUAGUAUGUGAGAAUGGCAUCAUUUUCACAUUAAAGUCACAACGGCAAAAGAUGAGCAUGCGUCCCAUUAGCUAGUUGGUAAGGUAACGGCUUACCAAGGCUACGAUGGGUAGGGGUCCUGAGAGGGAGAUCCCCACACUGGUACUGAGACACGGACCAGACUCCUACGGGAGGCAGCAGUGAGGAAUAUUGGACAAUGGGCGCAAGCCUGAUCCAGCCAUGCCGCGUGCAGGAUGACGGUCCUAUGGAUUGUAAACUGCUUUUGUACAGGAAGAAACACUACUUCGUGAAGUAGCUUGACGGUACUGUAAGAAUAAGGAUCGGCUAACUCCGUG
rnacentral:rRNA from 1 species